AGCACGGACUUCGGUCUGGUGGCGAGUGGCGAACGGGUGAGUAAUGUAUCGGAACGUACCUUUCAGUGGGGGAUAACGUAGCGAAAGUUACGCUAAUACCGCAUAUUCUGUGAGCAGGAAAGCAGGGGAUCGCAAGACCUUGCGCUGAUUGAGCGGCCGAUAUCAGAUUAGCUAGUUGGUGGGGUAAAGGCCUACCAAGGCGACGAUCUGUAGCGGGUCUGAGAGGAUGAUCCGCCACACUGGAACUGAGACACGGUCCAGACUCCUACGGGAGGCAGCAGUGGGGAAUUUUGGACAAUGGGGGCAACCCUGAUCCAGCCAUGCCGCGUGAGUGAAGAAGGCCUUCGGGUUGUAAAGCUCUUUCGGCCGGGAAGAAAUCGCAUAGGCUAAUACCCUGUGUGGAUGACGGUACC
rnacentral:rRNA from 1 species